rnacentral:rRNA from 1 species
CUGACUGCUAUCGGAUUGAUACUAAGCCAUGCGAGUCAUUGUAGCAAUACAAGGCAGACGGCUCAGUAACGCGUAGUCAACCUAACCUAUGGACGGGAAUAACCUCGGGAAACUGAGAAUAAUGCCCGAUAGAACACUAUGCCUGGAAUGGUUUGUGUUCCAAAUGAUUUAUCGCCGUAGGAUGGGACUGCGGCCUAUCAGUUUGUUGGUGAGGUAAUGGCCCACCAAGACUAUUACAGGUACGGGCUCUGAGAGGAGUAGCCCGGAGAUGGGUACUGAGACACGGACCCAGGCCCUAUGGGGCGCAGCAGGCGAGAAAACUUUGCAAUGUGCGAAAGCACGACAAGGUUAAUCCGAGUGGUUUGUGCUAAACGAACCUUUUGUCGGUCCUAGAAACACCGAUGAAUAAGGGGUGGGCAAGUUCUGGUGUCAGCCGCCGCGGUAAAACCAGCACCUCAAGUGGUCAGGAUGAUUAUUGGGCCUAAAGCAUCCGUAGCCGGCGCUAUAAGUUUUCGGUUAAAUCUGUACGCCCAACGUACAGGCUGCCGGGAAUACUGUAGCGCUAGGGAGUGGGAGAGGUAGACGGUACUCGGUAGGAAAGGGGUAAAAUCCUUUGAUCUAUUGAUGACCACCUGUGGCGAAGGCGGUCUACCAGAACACGUCCGACGGUGAGGGAUGAAAGCUGGGGGAGCAAACCGGAUUAGAUACCCGGGUAGUCCCAGCUGUAAACUAUGCAAACUCAGUGAUGCAUU